GCCCAUCAGCUAGCCCCUCCCCUAAAAACAACAAACCCCCAUUAAUAACCCCAAAUCCACUUUAACUAAUCUAAACAAAUCAUUUUAUCCCCUGAGUAUAGGCGAAAGAAAAGGAACCAUCGGCGCAAUAGAAAAAGUACCGCAAGGGAACGCUGAAAGAGAAAUGAAAUAACCCAGUUAAGCUACAAAAAGCAGAGAUCACACCUCGUAUUU
rnacentral:rRNA from 1 species